rnacentral:rRNA from 1 species
GACGAACGCUGGCGGCGUGCUUAACACAUGCAAGUCGAACGGAAAGGCCCUGCUUUUGUGGGGUGCUCGAGUGGCGCACGGGUGAGUAACACGUGAGUAACCUGUCCUUGACUUUGGGAUAACUUCAGGAAACUGGGGCUCAUACCGGAUAGGAGCUCCUGCUGCAUGGUGGGGGUUGGAAAGUUUCGGCGGUUGGGGAUGGACUCGCGGCUUAUCCGCUUGUUUGUGGGGUAGUGGCUUACCAAGGGUUUGACGGGUAGCCCGCCUGAGAGGGUGACCGGCCACAUUGGGACUGAGAUACGGCCCAGACUCCUACGGGAGGCAGCAGUGGGGAAUAUUGCACAAUGGGCGGAAGCCUGAUGCAGCAACGCCGCGUGCGUGAUGACGUCCUUCGGGUUGUAAACCGCUUUCGCCUGUGACGAAGCGUGAGUGACGGUAAUGGGUAAAGAAGCACCGGCUAACUACGUG